GUGCCAGCAGCCGCGGUAAUACCAGCUCUCCGAGUGGUGGGGAUGAUUAUUGGGCCUAAAGCAUCCGUAGCCGGCUGGACAAGUCCCCUGUUAAAUCCAACGAUCCAAUCGUUGGUCUGCGGGGGAUACUGUCCGGCUUGGGGGCGGGAGAGGCCGCCGGUAUUUCCGGGGUAGGGGUGAAAUCCUAUAAUCCCGGGAGGACCACCAGUGGCGAAGGCUGUCGGCUAGAACGCGCCCGACGGUGAGGGAUGAAAGCUGGGGGAGCGAACCGGAUUAGAUACCCGGGUAGUCCCAGCUGUAAACGAUGCAGGCUAGGUGUUAGGGCGGCUACGUGCCGCUCUAGUGCCGCAGGGAAGCUGUUAAGCCUGCCGCCUGGGGAGUACGGUCGCAAGGCUGAAACUCAAAUGAAUUGGCGGGG
rnacentral:rRNA from 1 species